CGUGAACCUUUACUAUAGCUUGACACUGAACAUUGAGCCUUGAUGUGUAGGAUAGGUGGGAGGCUUUGAAGUGUGGACGCCAGUCUGCAUGGAGCCGACCUUGAAAUACCACCCUUUAAUGUUUGAUGUUCUAACGUUGACCCGUAAUCCGGGUUGCGGACAGUGUCUGGUGGGUAGUUUGACUGGGGCGGUCUCCUCCUAAAGAGUAACGGAGGAGCACGAAGGUUGGCUAAUCCUGGUCGGACAUCAGGAGGUUAGUGCAAUGGCAUAAGCCAGCUUGACUGCGAGCGUGACGGCGCGAGCAGGUGCGAAAGCAGGUCAUAGUGAUCCGGUGGUUCUGAAUGGAAGGGCCAUCGCUCAACGGAUAAAAGGUACUCCGGGGAUAACAGGCUGAUACCGCCCAAGAGUUCAUAUCGACGGCGGUGUUUGGCACCUCGAUGUCGGCUCAUCACAUCCUGGGGCUGAAGUAGGUCCCAAGGGUAUGGCUGUUCGCCAUUUAAAGUGGUACGCGAGCUGGGUUUAGAACGUCGUGAGACAGUUCGGUCCCUAUCUGCCGUGGGCGCUGGAGAACUGAGGGGGGCUGCUCCUAGUACGAGAGGACCGGAGUGGACGCAUCACUGGUGUUCGGGUUGUCAUGCCAAUGGCACUGCCCGGUAGCUAAAUGCGGAAGAGAUAAGUGCUGAAAGCAUCUAAGCACGAAACUUGCCCCGAGAUGAGUUCUCCCUGACUCCUUGAGAGUCCUGAAGGAACGUUGAAG
rnacentral:rRNA from 1 species